UGAUGCAGCGACGCCGCGUGGGUGAAGAAGCGCCUCGGCGCGUAAAGCCCUGUCAGCAGGGAAGAAAAUGACGGUACCUGAAGAAGAAGCCCCGGCUAACUACGUGCC
rnacentral:rRNA from 1 species